AGUUUGAUCAUGGCUCAGAACGAACGCUGGCGGCAUGCCUAACACAUGCAAGUCGAACGAAGCCUUCGGGCUUAGUGGCGCACGGGUGUGUAACGCGUGGGAAUCUGCCCUUGGGUUCGGAAUAACAGUUAGAAAUGACUGCUAAUACCGAAUGGUGUCUUCGGACCAAAGAUUUAUCGCCCAAGGAUGAGCCCGCGUCGGAUUAGCUAGUUGGUGAGGUAAAGGCUCACCAAGGCGACGAUCCGUAGCUGGUCUGAGAGGAUGAUCAGCCACACUGGGACUGAGACACGGCCCAGACUCCUACGGGAGGCAGCAGUGGGGAAUAUUGGACAAUGGGCGAAAGCCUGAUCCAGCAAUGCCGCGUGAGUGAUGAAGGCCUUAGGGUUGUAAAGCUCUUUUACCCGGGAUGAUAAUGACAGUACCGGGAGAAUAAGCCCCGGCUAACUCCGUG
rnacentral:rRNA from 1 species